rnacentral:rRNA from 1 species
UUUCACGGAGAGUUUGAUUCUGGCUCAGAACUAACGCUGGUGGCGUGUCUUAGUCAUGCAAGUCGAACGAGAAAGU